rnacentral:misc_RNA from 1 species
GUUCCCAUGACUGGAUGAUGGUUCUGGGCUGGAUGGAUGGGGUUUGUUGGAAUAAGAAUUAUUCAAGUCCAAACAUUGUGGCAAAGAUGAUGACAGCCCAUCCAUCCUCGCCGUCUCAGUGUAACCAUUAGAAUGAUUAUUUGUAAUACGGAGGUGCCAAGGUACCUCCUUCUCUCCACAUUCUCUCCCUAUUCCAGUUGCGCUUUUACACCACCCAAUACUACUGUUAACAGAAGUAGCACCAAGCUCCUGAGACUGGUGUGAAAUCUCACCAUGAACCUGAGGGGCUAUACCGAACAGCCCUUUUAGUGCAUUAGUUAAAAGUACUGAGUCAUCACGCUCACCUUUUAUCCAUAUCCUCAUAUCAAGGGGGAAAAGCCCUGAUUUAUUCCAUUUCCUCAACUGCGUCACUGAAAACGGUCCUUGUAUUCUACCACUAGGGUCACGGUAAUGCCAAAGCUUGUCAGUGUCACUAAAGUUGGUGAAUGUUGAGUUCACUGUAGAAAAGCUUGUAAUUGAAGUUUCAGAUGCACACCUAUCCACAACCUGACGUGCAGUACCUUGAUUCCCUAGUUUCUUCAUGAUAUUUCCAUGAGCCUCUCUUUUUUCACUAACUUUACAUCGAGACAUGAUAGAUCCCUCUUUAUCUUUCCUCCAUGAAGACAUAGGCUUGUCUUCCCUUCUACAAAAUCUAGUGAAUCUUGGCCCCCCAUAUUCAACUUGUCUUUUGUCGUCAGAUUCUCUAGCAUCUUCUUCAGUUUCAUAAUUAGGAUCCAUCUUUGGAUCAGCGUGCACUUCUGGAGUUGCAAGUAGCCUCCGCUGAUGUUCCUCAGGCGUCUUCAGAAGCUCUAGUUUCUCUACACAUUCUCUUAGCUCUUUCUUACGCCCUUUCUCACUUGCUCUAUCACGAAGAUUGUUGAGUCGCAGUAUCUCUUCUUCCAAAGUAUCGUUGAGUUUUACUGCACGGAGUUCCAUUGCUUUCUUCCGUAUCUCGCCUAUGGUCAGCCGCUUUACAAGCCCACAUUUUAUAAUCUGACGUAAUCUUCUGCAUUCAUCCUCAGAGAAAUCUUGAUUUGAAAUAGAAUCAAUAGGAACAAUCUCUUUCUUGUUUAAGUUUAAGACUUCCAGCAGUACAUCAGCAGUCUUGUCCCCAAUCUUAUAUGGAACAAAUGCCUUGCUUGUACCUACGACAUGGACAAGCCUGUACAUAUCUUGCUUCUGAUUGUUACCAGAUAUUCUUAUACGGACAACCGAGCCAAUAACUCUGCCUUGAAACUUUUCCAUAUCUUCAAUAAGACUCUCCAUCAAAUCACGGCGCAAAUAUAUGAGAUUGAUGUUAUGAGCAUCAAUUGCUGCAUACUCAUCUAGAUUUAUCUGCACUGAACUUUCUUCGGUGUGUCUACGCGAUUUACGUUUCUUAGUUUUAUUCAUCGAGAAUGAGAUAUCAU